CUUCUGUAAUCUUUUUCUCAAUUUCAGCUACCACGCCAUCCUCAUUGCUCCCUUCCUCCGCCAUGGCCGGGCCCCGAGCCGUCGCCGUGGCGACGCGGGGCGCGCCGGCCCUGCGGGCGCUCCCUUCCCUCCGCCCGUUCCACCGCCGCAGCCGCGGCUUCCCCGGGCCUCCAGCGUUGGGCCUGGGCUGACAGGCGCAGCCACCUACUUUCCCUCCGCCCUGGGAACCAGUCACCUCAUUUACAGGGCCCGCUGAAAUAAAAAGCAAAUAAAGGAUGACUGAAGCAGUGCACUGAGUUUCUGAGUGCGUUAGCCACUGCGCUGCGUGGCUUCAAGAGCACUGAGUGACAGCCACAGUCCUGGGUGCUAAUGCUCCAAAACAUCAAUUGUGCCCCAAACACGGAUCCCAGGCGUGGAGGCCACAGCUGUAACCCACCACCCUCCCACCCAGCUGGGACUGGUAGGGCUUGGGGUGUCACUCCCUGCCAUGCCAAAGUGACAGAACCCACCACUGAGGCCAUACCUGGCACGUGAGGCAGCGGCAGGCACAAGCACCACUGUCCUGGCAGGGAGACUUGGACGAGCCCCAGCGAUCUGCCGUUUCACAAUGUUCCUUUUAUUUAUUUUUUAUACCAAUCUUCCCAGCAAUUGCAGAGAUAUCUGCAUCUGAGCUUUAGAAAGUGAAAGAACAUUUUAUUCUAAAUAUCGUCA
rnacentral:lncRNA from 1 species